ACCGCACCAUGCUCUAUCCAUC
rnacentral:miRNA from 1 species